rnacentral:lncRNA from 1 species
CUGUUUGAUGAUUAUUCUGGAUUUAUAUGGCUUGAUCUUGAAUUAAAUUGAUGAUAUUUAUUUUUAUUUGAGGAUUUUGGUGAAAAUGGUGAUCAUAGACUUAUUUCACAAGCCUAUUAUAUAUGUUUUGACAUGAAUAAUCUUUGUUUGAAAUAAGAAAAUAAUGAACAAUUAAUACAAUCUUAUUAGGGAUAUCAUUCUUAUUCUUGUCACUUGCUUUUCCCACAAAUAGUACAUUCAGCAAGCUUUUCAUACUCUUUUCCAC